rnacentral:tRNA from 1 species
GUUCUAAUAGUGUUCCAUUGCACGUUGAGUUUUCAUCUCAAAAGAGUAUAUAAAUUUAACUAAUACUUAGAAUU